UACGUAGGGGGCAAGCGUUGUCCGGAUUUAUUGGGCGUAAAGAGCGUGUAGGCGGCUUGGUAGGUCCGCUGUGAAAACUCGAGGCUCAACCUCGAGAUGUCGGCGGAAACCACUUGGCUAGAGUCCGGAAGAGGAGAGUGGAAUUCCUGGUGUAGCGGUGAAAUGCGCAGAUAUCAGGAAGAACACCUAUGGCGAAGGCAGCUCUCUGGGACGGUACUGACACUGAGGAGCGAAAGCCAGGGGAGCAAACGGG
rnacentral:rRNA from 1 species